UACGUAGGGUGCAAGCGUUAAUCGGAAUUACUGGGCGUAAAGCGUGCGCAGGCGGUUGUGCAAGACAGAUGUGAAAUCCCCGGGCUUAACCUGGGAACUGCAUUUGUGACUGCGCGGCUAGAGUGUGUCAGAGGGGGGUAGAAUUCCACGUGUAGCAGUGAAAUGCGUAGAUAUGUGGAGGAAUACCGAUGGCGAAGGCAGCCCCCUGGGAUAACACUGACGCUCAUGCACGAAAGCGUGGGGAGCAAACAGG
rnacentral:rRNA from 1 species